rnacentral:rRNA from 1 species
GAUGAACGCUGGCGGCGUGCCUAAUACAUGCAAGUCGAGCGAACGGACGAGAAGCUUGCUUCUCUGAUGUUAGCGGCGGACGGGUGAGUAACACGUGGAUAACCUACCUAUAAGACUGGGAUAACUUCGGGAAACCGUAGCUAAUACCGGAUAAUAUUUUGAACCGCAUGGUUCAAAAGUGAAAGACGGUCUUGCUGUCACUUAUAGAUGGAUCCGCGCUGCAUUAGCUAGUUGGUAAGGUAACGGCUUACCAAGGCAACGAUGCAUAGCCGACCUGAGAGGGUGAUCGGCCACACUGGAACUGAGACACGGUCCAGACUCCUACGGGAGGCAGCAGUAGGGAAUCUUCCGCAAUGGGCGAAAGCAUGACGGAGCAACGCCGCGUGAGUGAUGAAGGUCUUCGGAUCGUAAAACUCUGUUAUUAGGGAAGAACAUAUGUGUAAGUAACUGUGCACAUCGUGACGGUACCUAAUCAGAAAGCCACGGCUAACUACGUG